GGGCUCUUGGCACAGGGGUAGCGCGCACGCUUCGCACCCGCGAUAUUGCGUGAGGUCGUGGGUUCAAUUCCCACAGUGUCCA